rnacentral:rRNA from 1 species
AAAUUGAAGAGUUUGAUCAUGGCUCAGAUUGAACGCUGGCGGCAGGCCUAACACAUGCAAGUCGAACGGUAACAGGAAGCAGCUUGCUGCUUCGCUGACGAGUGGCGGACGGGUGAGUAAUGUCUGGGAAGCUGCCUGAUGGAGGGGGAUAACUACUGGAAACGGUAGCUAAUACCGCAUAAUGUCGCAAGACCAAAGAGGGGGACCUUCGGGCCUCUUGCCAUCGGAUGUGCCCAGAUGGGAUUAGCUUGUUGGUGGGGUAACGGCUCACCAAGGCGACGAUCCCUAGCUGGUCUGAGAGGAUGACCAGCCACACUGGAACUGAGACACGGUCCAGACUCCUACGGGAGGCAGCAGUGGGGAAUAUUGCACAAUGGGCGCAAGCCUGAUGCAGCCAUGCCGCGUGUAUGAAGAAGGCCUUCGGGUUGUAAAGUACUUUCAGCGGGGAGGAAGGGAGUAAAGUUAAUACCUUUGCUCAUUGACGUUACCCGCAGAAGAAGCACCGGCUAACUCCGUGCCAGCAGCCGCGGUAAUACGGAGGGUGCAAGCGUUAAUCGGAAUUACUGGGCGUAAAGCGCACGCAGGCGGUUUGUUAAGUCAGAUGUGAAAUCCCCGGGCUCAACCUGGGAACUGCAUCUGAUACUGGCAAGCUUGAGUCUCGUAGAGGGGGUGGAAUUCCGGUGUAGCGGUGAAAUGCGUAGAGAUCUGGAGGAAUACCGGUGGCGAAGGCGGCCCCCUGGACGAAGACUGACGCUCAGGUGCGAAAGCGUGGGGAGCAAACAGGAUUAGAUACCCUGGUAGUCCACGCCGUAAACGAUGUCGACUUGGAGGUUGUGCCCUUGAGGCGUGGCUUCCGGAGCUAACGCGUUAAGUCGACCGCCUGGGGAGUACAGUACGCAAGGUUAAAACUCAAAUGAAUUGACGGGGGCCCGCACAAGCGGUGGAGCAUGUGGUUUAAUUCGAUGCAACGCGAAGAACCUUACCUGGUCUUGACAUCCACGGAAGUUUUCAGAGAUGAGAAUGUGCCUUCGGGAACCGUGAGACAGGUGCUGCAUGGCUGUCGUCAGCUCGUGUUGUGAAAUGUUGGGUUAAGUCCCGCAACGAGCGCAACCCUUAUCCUUUGUUGCCAGCGGUCCGGCCGGGAACUCAAAGGAGACUGCCAGUGAUAAACUGGAGGAAGGUGGGGAUGACGUCAAGUCAUCAUGGCCCUUACGACCAGGGCUACACACGUGCUACAAUGGCGCAUACAAAGAGAAGCGACCUCGCGAGAGCAAGCGGACCUCAUAAAGUGCGUCGUAGUCCGGAUUGGAGUCUGCAACUCGACUCCAUGAAGUCGGAAUCGCUAGUAAUCGUGGAUCAGAAUGCCACGGUGAAUACGUUCCCGGGCCUUGUACACACCGCCCGUCACACCAUGGGAGUGGGUUGCAAAAGAAGUAGGUAGCUUAACCUUCGGGAGGGCGCUUACCACUUUGUGAUUCAUGACUGGGGUGAAGUCGUAACAAGGUAACCGUAGGGGAACCUGCGGUUGGAUCACCUCCUUA